GACGAACGCUGGCGGCGUGCUUAACACAUGCAAGUGGCGCGACGAACCAGGCUUCGGCCUGGGGCGAAGCCGCGAACGGGUGAGUAACACGUGGGCAAUCUGCCCCUUUGAUCGGGACAACCCGGGGAAACCCGGGCUAAUACCGAAUGAGGUUGCGACUCAUGAGAGUCGUCACGAAAGGAAGCUUCGGCCUCCGCGAAGGGAUGAGCCCGCGGCCCAUUAGCUUGUUGGCGGGGUAAUGGCCUACCAAGGCAACGAUGGGUAGCUGGUCUGAGAGGAGGAGGAGCCACAGUGGGACUGGGACACGGCCCAGACUCCUACGGGAGGCUGCAGUGGGGAAUCUUGCGCAAUGGGCGACAGCUUGACGCAGCAACGCCGCGUGAGGGAAGAAGGCUUUCGGGUGGUAAACCUCUUUCAGUUAGGACGAAGCAUUAUUGGUUAAUAACCAAUUGGAGUGACGGUACUUUCAGAAGAAGCCCCGGCUAACUACGUGCCAGCAGCCGCGGUAA
rnacentral:rRNA from 1 species